rnacentral:rRNA from 1 species
UCUGGGUCGUGCGGUCGCAUGCCGUUGCUCGUUCACGGUUCUUGGUUACGAUCGAGGCUUGUGUUCGGCUCGGUGUAGUGGCUGUGCAGCCUUUCAGCCGUGUCUGUGUAAACGGGUGCUGAUGGGUUGAUGAGCUUGUCUUGUCGGCCUGUUGGCAUGCUUCCGGAUGCCUUUAAACGGGUGUCGGGACGGAGCGGCAUCUUUACUUUGAACAAAUUUGAGUGCUCAAAGCAGGCCUAUGUGCCUGAAAAUUCUUGCAUGGAAUAAUGAAAUAGGACUUCGGUUCUAUUUUGUUGGUUUUCGGAUCCGAAGUAAU